ACGAACGGCCCGAGCGUUAAUCGGAGUUACUGGGCUUAAAGGGUGCGUAGGCGGAAGCGCCAGUGUCUUGUGAAAUCCCACAGCUCAACUGUGGAACUGCGGGGCAUACUGCGCUUCUUGAGGUCGGUAGAGGUUGCCGGAACUGUAGGUGUAGCGGUGAAAUGCGUAGAUAUCUACAGGAACGCCAAAGACGAAGGUAGGCAACUGGGCCGAUUCUGACGCUGAGGCACGAAAGCGUGGGGAGCAAACAG
rnacentral:rRNA from 1 species